AAUAUAUGUAAGGGGAGCUUUAACCGGCUGAGAGGAAAUUUUAUUCGACCCGUAACCUGAUGUGGAUAAUGCCAACGUAGGGACAUAUAUACUUAUGUGA
rfam:Megasphaera micronuciformis F0359 genomic scaffold Scfld15, whole genome shotgun sequence.